rnacentral:rRNA from 1 species
CAGCCGCCGCGGGAAUACAGAGGGUGCGAGCGUUAAUCGGAUUUACUGGGCGUAAAGCGUGCGUAGGCGGCUUCUUAAGUCGGAUGUGAAAUCCUUGAGCUUAACUUAGGAAUUGCAUUCGAUACUGGGAAGCUAGAGUAUGGGAGAGGAUGGUAGAAUUCCAGGUGUAGCGGUGAAAUGCGUAGAGAUCUGGAGGAAUACCGAUGGCGAAGGCAGCCAUCUGGCCUAAUACUGACGCUGAGGUACGAAAGCAUGGGGAGCAAACAGGAUUAGAUACCCCCGUAGUCCCUGUCUCUUAUAC